rnacentral:snoRNA from 1 species
AAACAACAAAAAAAAUGUCAUGAUCUGAAGAGGGAGGAUUUUUCUUUGUGUCCUCUUCCUACAGGAAAUGGCUUAACAGAGAAAA